rnacentral:rRNA from 1 species
GAUGAACGCUAGCGGCAGGCUUAACACAUGCAAGUCGAGGGGUAUUUAUCUUCGGAUAGAGAGACCGGCGCACGGGUGCGUAACUCGUAUGCAAUCUACCUUUUACAGAGGGAUAGCCCAGAGAAAUUUGGAUUAAUACCUCAUAGUAUAUAGACUCGGCAUCGAGAUUAUAUUAAAGUCACAACGGUAAAAGAUGAGCAUGCGUCCCAUUAGCUAGUUGGUAAGGUAACGGCUUACCAAGGCUACGAUGGGUAGGGGUCCUGAGAGGGAGAUCCCCCACACUGGUACUGAGACACGGACCAGACUCCUACGGGAGGCAGCAGUGAGGAAUAUUGGACAAUGGGCGCAAGCCUGAUCCAGCCAUGCCGCGUGCAGGAUGACGGUCCUAUGGAUUGUAAACUGCUUUUAUACGAGAAGAAACACUGCUACGUGUAGCAGCUUGACGGUAUCGUAAGAAUAAGGAUCGGCUAACUCCGUG